GAUGAACGCUGGCGGCGUGCCUAAUACAUGCAAGUCGAGCGAACGGACGAGAAGCUUGCUUCUCUGAUGUUAGCGGCGGACGGGUGAGUAACACGUGGAUAACCUACCUAUAAGACUGGGAUAACUUCGGGAAACCGGAGCUAAUACCGGAUAAUAUUUUGAACCGCAUGGUUCAAAAGUGAAAGACGGUCUUGCUGUCACUUAUAGAUGGAUCCGCGCUGCAUUAGCUAGUUGGUAAGGUAACGGCUUACCAAGGCAACGAUGCAUAGCCGACCUGAGAGGGUGAUCGGCCACACUGGAACUGAGACACGGUCCAGGCUCCUACGGGAGGCAGGAGUAGGGAAUCUUCCGCAAUGGGCGGAAGCCUGACGGAGCAACGCCGCGUGAGUGAUAGAGGUCUUCGGAUCGUAAAACUCUGUUAUUAGGGAAGAACAUAUGUGUAAGUAACUGUGCACAUCUUGACGGUACCUAAUCAGAAAGGCACGGCUAACUACGUG
rnacentral:rRNA from 1 species